CUGCUUCCCCCUCCUCUGCUGCCUGCCCUGGCUGGGCGCAUCCGCCUCGGGGGUGUCCGGAGCUGGGACCUCUGGGGCCGGAAGGCUCCUCGUCCGCGAAGACGUCGAUGAAGCUGCUGUCGAUCUCCGGGUUGUCCGACUGGUACUCCAUGCCGUUGAGCGCCUCUGUGAUGAGGCUGUCCAGCUUGGCGUCAUCCUCCAUGUCCAGAGUCCCUGGAUGCAAACACCAGCACACAGGAACACACACUGCCUUUCCUCCUUCCUUCAACAGAAGAUCGUCGGCUACGCUCACUGUUCUGCACCUGACCUUUUUUUCAUGUAACAACAUAUCCUGUAGAUAAUCCCACAACAUUCCGUGAAGAGGUUUCUCACUCUCUGUCCACUCGUCCUCGCAUCCAGGCUGCAGAGCACCCAGACCUGUCUGGAUGGACACUGGGCUGCUGCCUGCAUUCGGCCCUUAGAAACAAUACAGCAAUGGUCACCACAUGGCGACAGCCUGUGCUCCAAACGCUGUGGGCCUAGCUGCGUCAAAGGGCACCUGCGUUUGACUUUGGAAGGAGAUUGUCCAAUUGUCAGUCUCCGUGAUGGUUUUAAAAUAUGGCCACACAUUCUUUAACACUCCUCCCUUCAAGAGGUGGAGCCUCAUUCUCUCCACUUGAACACAGCUGAGCUUACCGCCUCACUGCUAAUGAACAGAAUAUGCUGGAAGGAGGGGUGCUGGACUUCAAGAUUGGGCCCUAAAAGGCACUGCAGCUUCCUCCUUGCACACUUAGAUCACACAUGUGGGGAAGCAGCUGCCAUGCUUUCCGGGCACUCAAGCAGCCCCGUGGAGAGGCCAUGAGGUGAGGAACAGAGGCCUCCUGCCUGUAGCUGUGUGAGGGAGCCAUCUUGGAAGUGGCUUCCCCAGACUCCGUUGGGCCUUUGGAUGAUGCUGCAGCCCCUGCUGACAUUCUGACCGCAACCUUGUGAGGGAAUUUGAGCCAGAACCACCCGCUAGGCUGUGCCUGCAUCCUGACCUUUGGAAACUAAGAGAUAAUAAAGGUUUGUUGUUUCAGUCUGUUCUUUAUGAUACAGCAAUAGACAACCGUAACUCAUGCCCCUCCUAGCAAUGUAGAGAACCCAGAGGCCCUAAUGUGAGUCACUGUGUCACAGGAGGAAGCAUGUCCUUACCCAGAGAUGUAUAGACUGAGGCCCAGGGAGGGUGAAGAACUGCAGGAAGCCACUGGGACUUAGCAGUAAAGCCUUUGCCACACUGUCCCAUCCAUCUGUUCAUGUAUCCAUCCAUCCACCCACCUAUCCAUCCAUCCAUCUACCCACCCACCCAUCCAUCCAUCUAUCCAUCCAUCCAUCCAUCCACCCACCUAUCCAUCCAUCCAUCUACCCACCCAU
rnacentral:lncRNA from 10 species